UGGAAAACCACUGUUCAUUAACAGUGUCCACCCGAUUUUGCCCCUCAUUCUCUUCAUGGUUUUUUAGUUUUAGUGGGGUUGUAUGGUGAAUUGGCCGUUUUGCCCCUCUCUCUUUUUCUUCCGUGCGUGCGUUCUCAGUUCCACACACUUCCAAAUCCCUAAAUUCGCAGGCUUUCCCCCUUCUUUCUCCAACACGGUUUCUGCUAUUGCCCCUGCGUCUUCUACGACUCCGAUCUGCAUAUUUGUUUUGCGUGGUAAGAAUUUUGUUCUCGAUUUGAAACUGGUUGUUUGAUUUCUGUUUGUUUACCAAGAAAUCUCUCUCUUGCGUUUUUCUCCUGAGGUUUAUGCUCAGAUCACUUUGCAUCCAGAAGCAGAUGUGAGAAACAUGUUUUCUUUUUUGUCUUAUUUAAUGUUUUGUUCCAACUUCCUCUGUUUGGUUGCUUAGAAGAUGGAGAAAAGAAUAUAAAGUCACUAAUGUUAAAGUCUUUUCAAAUCAGUUGGGAUAUUAUCUAAAAUACGAAUAGGGGAAAUUUCACAUUUUCUCAACUCUUUGGACAAUUUUCGUAGUUAAUGAGGCUUAGAUUUUGAUAUAAUAUUUGUCGAAAACGAUAACCGAAUGAAAAAGAUGUGAAGAUUUGAAGUUAGGGAAGCCAAACGGAGAAGAGAAAAAAAAUCAAGAACAGCAGCAAAGCUGCUGGUUCAGUUUUAUUUGUGAUGUAUCUCGAAUGUUGUUUGUUAUUCCUUUAUUUUGUUGGUAUUCUUUAAAGCUACAGUGUUUGUUAACAACUGUUUCCAUUUCUACAUUCGCUAAACCCUCUCUGGAAAUUAAUUAAAAUGAUUUCUGCUACGUGCAAUAUAUGUUACAAUUGAAUUAUUGAGGAAUGUGGGGACUGCACUGAGCAAGUGCUUGGACAAAUUUUUUUAAUUGAAUUGUAAAUUUUGUUUCAGUAUUAGACUUUGUAUGAAUAUGAAUUUAAAUAAUCAUUUUUCAGUUUUUAAAUAAAUGAGUCUCAGUAAUUUGUGUUAGUUUUAUCCGAACAACACGUGCACUUACCUGUCUAUGUUGGUUAACUAAAUUGAUGCAUAUCUUGCCAGUUAGCAUUAUGUAUUUGAAGGAGUUUUUAAAAAUAAAUCCCUUACUAAACACGUUUAAACAAUUGGUCUUUGGUUCUAUAUGUUUGAUAAAAAUUGGGUGGAAGGAGUAACCAGUUUGAUUGUAGUGUGUUAUCACCAUUUUGUUAGAUGCUUAAAUGAAUUGGGUUAGAACUUACCAUGUGGUUUUUUAUCGAUAGCAGCAUUUGGACACAAAGAUGUGUGAAAUGCUAAGCUAUUUACAUGGAAAAAAAAAACAUUGGGGAAAUCAUGCUGUGUUAAGCUAUUUACACAACAAAAAAUAUUGGAGAACAUUGUUUAUUUAGAUUGAUAAGGGUGGUAGAAGUUGUUCAGCAGAAUAGCAAAAGCUUUCUUCCAGUUGUAUUUGUUGUCAAGAAGGCAGCCUAAGCAACAAAAAAAGAAAAGAAAAUAUUGUAACACGUAUUAAGCUGUUGAGAAGAAUUAAGGACCAGAGUUUACUAUUUUUUUUUCGAAUUUUAUUCAUUUGAGGUUUGAUUUUAGGAUUAUGUGUUUUCUGUUUAGUGUGAUUCAAUACGGGUUUUUUGGUCAAAUGGGACAUGGAAUUUCAAAUGCUGUUUGUUAUUUCUUUAUUUUUUUAGUAUUCUUUUGAAGAUCUGCGUAUCGAUUGUUGCUUCUGUUUCUUAUAUAAACACAAUGUGUUUUGCGAUCACAACUUUUGUGAUCAGAAACGUUUCCAGUUAAUUGUACAAUGGCUUUGAUGUCAGCUAAACUGAAUGUAAAUGAAAACCAAGUUGCUGAUCUUACCAGCCCAGUUCACCCAUCUCUUUGCUUAUUUAAAUUAUUUGAAGAUGCCCAUUCGUGUGGCAAUUUGGUGAGAGUCAAUUUGUGAGUUAGAGAGCAAUUUAGGAGAAUCUUCUCUGUUUGUUUGAGUUCUCCACUCGUUUGGUUUAGGGUUUGUAAUUUGUGAGAUUUGGGUUGUGAGCGUUUAAACACUCUUUUGUAAUCUCCGUUUGUUUAGUGAAAUUCCUCGCCGUGCUUCGCCCGUGGAGUAGGCUUUACGCCGAACCACGUAAAUCUCUUGUGUCAGUUUGAGAUUGUUUGUUUUAGCUUUCACCUACGACGUUGAUAUUUGAUAGUUUGUUAUAAUUCGCUUCCGUUUGCGCAUAAAAGUACAACAAUUGCAGAUCCGCUACAUUCUUCAAGAAGUUCGGUUUACAGAACCAGAGCCGUUUAAGCAAAGGUGUCCCAGUUUAUAGAUGAGUAAAAGCGGCAAUCCUCUUCCCAGCUUCACUUCCAUGAAGCUCAAAGGAUGAUAAACAAGAAACGGAAAUCACAAAUUGCAAAUUAGAUGGACAAAAAAGGCAAUAGAAAUUCAUAGGGUCCCAAAUCCGUGACAUAAAAGAAGAAGGUAUCUCAUUACAACCACCUCAGUCUAACAAAACUUUUAGCACUCUUAAAACAUGAUCUGAAUUCUCAGCUCAAGUUGGAGCACUCAUGGCAAGUUGACAUGUCUAGUGUGCAGUGAAGGUGGAUCUUAAAUUGAGUUAAGAGACAAGUAUUGUCAUAUUGGGCAUCAUCGUUACUUACCUAUGAAUCACUCAUGGCGCAAAAAUACUGAACUCUUUAAUAGUCACCGAGAUAUGAGACAUCGUCCUAGAAAAUUCUCAUGUGAUGACAUACUUGAUCAACUUGAUUCCCUUUUAUCUUGUACACUUGGUAAGCAUCGUACUAAUAAAGAUAAGAAGAGGAAGCAGAAUGUCGAAGAAUUAAAUUGGACAAGGAAGAGUAUUUUUUUCGAGUUGGAAUACUGGUCCAAAUUGAAGAUUCAACAUAAUCUUGAUGUUAUGUAUAUUGAGAAGAAUAUAUUUGACUGUUUGAUUGGGACAUUGCUGAAUACUGGGAAGUCGAAGGAUACCUUUAAGGCACAGAUGAAUUUACAAGACAUGAAUAUUAGAUAGAGUUUGCAUUUGAAACUAAAUGCACGUAACAUAUUGGAUAAGCCAUUGGCUCAGUAUGUAUUUAAGUCAUAUAAACGUAAAGAUUUCUUGCAUUGGUUGAAAUCAAUUAAAUUUCUAGAUGGUUAUGUAGCAAAUGUAUCACAUAAAGUGAAUAUAGAUGAAGAAAGUAUUUUUGGUUGGAAGAGUCAUGAUUGUCAUGUGUUGAUGCAAUAUGUGCGUCCUGUGGGCAUUUGAAAAUAUUUGAAAAAGCAUAUAUAUGGUCCAAUUGUUGAGUUUUCUAGUUUUUUUUUUUCAACAAAUAUGUGCAAAGACUCUGACUGUUAUUGAUCUUGACAAGUUGGAAUAAGACAUUGCCUUGAUGUUUUUUUUUUCGAGUUGGAAUACUGGUCCAAAUUGAAGAUUCAACAUAAUCUUGAUGUUAUGUAUAUUGAGAAGAAUAUAUUUGACUGUUUGAUUGGGACAUUGCUGAAUACUGGGAAGUCGAAGGAUACCUUUAAGGCACAGAUGAAUUUACAAGACAUGAAUAUUAGAUAGAGUUUGCAUUUGAAACUAAAUGCACGUAACAUAUUGGAUAAGCCAUUGGCUCAGUAUGUAUUUAAGUCAUAUAAACGUAAAGAUUUCUUGCAUUGGUUGAAAUCAAUUAAAUUUCUAGA